ACGGGAGGCAGCAGUGAGGAAUAUUGGUCAAUGGGCGAGAGCCUGAACCAGCCAAGUCGCGUGAAGGAUGAAGGUUCUAUGGAUUGUAAACUUCUUUUGUUCGAGGGUAAAGUGAUCUACGUGUAGGUUAUUGCAAGUAUCGAACGAAUAAGCAUCGGCUAACUCCGUGCCAGCAGCCGCGGUAAUACGGAGGAUGCGAGCGUUAUCCGGAUUUAUUGGGUUUAAAGGGUGCGUAGGCGGGAUGUUAAGUCAGCGGUUAAAUAGUGUAGCUCAACUAUACUUUGCCGUUGAAACUGGCGUUCUUGAGUGUAAACGAGGUAGGCGGAAUGUGACGUGUAGCGGUGAAAUGCUUAGAUAUGUCACAGAACCCCGAUUGCGAAGGCAGCUUACCAGGAUACAACUGACGCUGAGGCACGAAAGCGUGGGUAUCGAACAGGAUUAGAUACCCUGGUA
rnacentral:rRNA from 1 species